AGGAGACGAUAAGAAAAGCAAGUACUUGAACCUGGCAUAUGAAGAGCUGGAGCUGCUGAGUCAUCUUGCAACCAUGUGCAUAUAGGACCCGACUGAGAAUGGAGGUAAUAUGGCAGAGGGCAGAGCCGAGGGAUGAUGGAAGAGACACUAGGUGCAGGUGAUGUUAUUCAAGUCCUGGAUCAAGCUGUGCCUGAAGCCUGAACCUAGACUUUCCAGAUGCAUGAACCAACAAAUUCUGUUUUUCUUUUCUUUUUUUUUUUUGUAAGUUUGAGUCAGGAUUACCGUUGCUUACAACCAAAGCUUCUAAUGAUAUGGUCAUUAAUAGAGGAUCCAUUUUUAAAGAGAGUAAAGGGAGC
rnacentral:lncRNA from 1 species